CUUUAAAUCUGAUUAUAAUUCUGUUGUUGUUGUUAUUUUAGUCUUCCACGGGUGUGUGUCCCCCUUCCAAAAUUUUGCUAUUGUAGUUAUAGGUUGAUUUUAUUAUAAAUUAUUUCUUGUUAAUGUUGGUGAUUAAUGCACUAAGUAGGUAUUUUUAUGAGAAUGUGUACAUAUAUGAGUGGUAUCUAAUAAUUGGUAUAUAUUAAUCACAACUAUUUUCCCAUUAUUCUCUGCAUGUCAUUUUGUAUUGUCACUAAUUAAUGUUGCUAAUUUUCUAUUUGCUAUAUAAUAACCGCAUGCAGCCAUUGAUUCAUUGUUAUUAUCAAUCACAUAGAACUGCAUUUCUAAUACUUGAUAUUUUAUAUAUCAUUAUGGAUUAAUUUAUUGAAAAAAUGAAGCUGAUUUGAUUUCAAUAUGUUGUCAUAUUAUGGGCGGAAAUACAAGCAGAAGUCUCUUGAUGCAACAUUCUAAAAAUCACCAAGAAGAACUAUAAAUAGAGGUUUGGAAAAGAAUUCUUAGCAAUAUGGCGCAUACGUUCUGGACAACUCUCCCAAAGUCAGACCAGAUACAUCCUUUGUUCCAGGUUCUACGAUAUACUGAGGGUUUGUGGUUUGUUUCUUCUCUAAGGUCGUUGGGCUUCUGCUCUCACUCCACUUUAGGCACUAACUAGUGAGUAGAAUCCCAGUUCCAUUUAACUACUUAACAUUAAUUAGCUCUUACAAAGGAAUGUUUAUUUCAAAGAUAAAGCCUUAACAAAGUACACAAUCUUCCCCUCAACACCUCAGGGACACAUUCUUAGCUAACACGUACCAGUGCUAACCUACAAGAAAACAAAUAAGUCUUUUUUUUUUUUUUUUUCUAUAUAUAGAUGCUAGCCUGGAAAAUUCAAAAGGAUAAUAAAAGUCACUAUAUAUAACUGAUGGUAUUUACCAACAGAGGAAUGGUGAUGGUGAAAUCUGGCACCUCAUACACAAACUGAAGUUCUUGGCUCGGAAGUGAUUUGUCAAUGAAAAGUUCAAAGACUAUGUAGAUGAAACAAAGAUGAAGCAAAGUUCCCGGCAUGGUCUGCAAACAAUUCACUAACAUAUUUUCACCAGUGCCAAGAGGUGGAUGGCAACACUAACCAACAAUGAAUUUUGCCUAUACUACCAUGGAGUGAACACUAAUGUGAACACAGAAGUUAUGUUCCAAAGGCCACAUGAUACUUGAAGCCAUGGUAAUUCUAAGUCACAGCUAUUAAAUGAAAAUUCACAGAGCUCAACUACAGAUGAAGCUAAAAGCUUAGGACUUUCUCCAGAUAGCACAGCAUCAGUGUAUAUAAGAAUCUCAUUAUAUUGAAACAACUUUCUGAGGUCCAUGGUUAUUUGUGAGAAAAAAUCAGAUGGCUGCAAGAAGUGAUACAAGUCAAGAAGCAGGAAAGUUCCAUUCCCUAGAAGGCAUUUUACAGUUGAGAUAAUGGGUAGUGUUGAUGUACAAUAGAGAGCUCUAUUGUUGUUGCUGCUGUUGCUCAUCCUUCAUUUUCAAAGAAGACCAACGAUUUUAAAUAAGAACUAUACAAAGUCAUCAGCUUCACUCUUUCUUCCAGAGCCAUUAAAGUCCAGUGAAAGGACAAAAGCAAGAUGGCUGGCAUUGGCUUGAGAUUGCAGUGGAUGACGUUGGCUUCUUUUAUGUCUGAUCAGGUUAUAAGCUCUUCCUAGCACCUGCUUCAGUCACCUUCAUGGCUGUUAAAAGAUAUUGUUCUCAUUCAUCCAUUCCACCAGGAGAAGUCUUGAUAUAGACACAUACCCCUAACUCACCAACGUCAGUUCCCUCACCUUUUCAGAAUCCCAGGUGAGAGUUGGGUAAAAGUGGACACCAAAGAUGGAUAAGCGUCUCUGAAAAAGUCUUGGAAAGCCUUCACAACAAUGUUUCUAGUUUUCCCCGAACACACCAAAUAAGUGAAAGAAGAGAAAUAAAGUAAGAAGAUGGAGGAAGAUACAAUAAAAGAGACAGAAAAGGAACAGUCAGAUAGUUUUAGAUGCAGAGUGGAGCCCCUGACCGAGAAGAUGAAGUCACAGGGACCUUAAAGACUCCAAGCUAGUUGUUGAAGCGAGCCUAGCAGACCUAAGAAACCAGAGGAGUGCAAAGGAAACCCAAGGGAGCCCAGUGGAAUUUUAAAUUCGAACUUGUUUAGAUUAAUGCUACGUAGGAAUUAAAUUAAGCUUAAUCCUCCUUCCCUACCAAAGACCCAGGUGGUGUGGGGGUGAUUAAACAACCAAGGUACUGGAGAAAAUGUUUAAAUGCUUAUUCUUGUUAUAUUCCUGAAGUAAAAGUUCCUUUGCAAAUGCUAAUCCAUUGUUAAACUGUUAAAUAGAAUUGGGGUGCUAAUCACUGGAUUUCUAAAAUCGAAUGGGAAGGUAGCCAGUGAAAGUUCUAAACAAUACCCCUAAGGGUGCCAGAGAAGAGAGGCCCGUGAAAUAACAUACUUGAUUCUUAAAGUUCAAAGAGUAGAGACAGAGUCAACCUAAGUUAUAUUUAGAUGUUAAAAAGUCAAGAAAUCAAACAUUUACUUAGCAAUUAUUAUGUGUCAGGCACUAGGCUAAAUGCUAGAGACACAAAGAAUGGCAAAAACAAAAACAAAAACACAACAGCCUUUGUCCGCAAGGAAUGCACAUUCUAAUAGGGGAGACAAAAACAAAACACAACUAUGUAUAUGAAAGACAUCUACAAGGCAAAUGAGAGUUAAUCUCCGAUGCUGCUCUUAAAAGGAGUCGGGAAAAGACUUCUUGUGGAAGAUGGAUUUUAGCUAAAACCCCAGGCCACCAACAGGAAAAGACAGGCACAGUCAGCAAGAGAGCCUUAUUCAAGGAACGCCAAUUCCCAAGCCAAUAUUCCAGAAUAACGGAGUUUAAGUGUAAAGAAAUAUCAGACUGGAAAAGUAGUAAGUGAUUAAAGAAUUUGUCUGAAACAUUGUUUUGAAGAAUUUACAACAUUGGGGACUUGUGCAAGAUGAAAAAGAAUGUUAAAUCCCCUUCCUCUAAAUCCACGAGCAUAAGUGGUAGUACUUGCAUGUAGGCCCUUUGACUUCAAAAUCAGGAUGAUUGGAGAUGGCCUUGAGAUAUAAUAAAUAUCUAAUGUUUAGAUAGCCCUGGAGGCCUGUGGAGCCCUUUUCAGAGCUGAUCACGCCCCCUUUGAUGUCCACUUUCACCUGUGGCUCCAAGAAGGUAUAACACACGCAGCGCGGCGGACCGCGGUUAAAAAAAUGGGGGCGCGCCAGACGGGUUAAACCAGAUGGAGGAUAACCCGUCGCGGGGUUAAGGGGGUCUCUUCCCCAAACAUGUGAAGACUUCCCUGGUGGAAUUGGUUAGAUGGAAACAAUCUGUUCCAAUGGCCAUGAAAGUAGCUGAAGCAGGCGCGGUGGAGCACUUAGAGCUUGGUCAGACAUAGAAGACAGCAAGGUUAUCCAUUGCAUCCCGGGCCAUAGCCCUUUGUCUUACUUUUUAUCUUCCCGCUAGACUUCGAUGAUUCUGAAAGUGAAGCUGAAGAUUUUGGGCAACUCUGCCUCACUUAAAUCCAAUUUACCCAUAAGUCAAGAUUACUCUGUAAUGUCAUUGAUCAGCUUCAAAAAUGAAAAACGAGCAUUUCUAUAAGUUUUGCAAAGUGCUUUGCAAAUAUGACCCUAGAUUAUUCCCACAGCAACCCUGCAAAAUAGGUGAUUAUUAUUAUUAUUAUUAUCAUUAUCAUCUUACAGAUAAGGAAAUAGAGUCACAGAGGUCAGAGGUCAGAAAUUUACUUAGAUUACAUACCUAUUAAAUGUCUGAUGCAAGAUUUGAACUUGUUUCACUCACUCCAAGUCCAGUACUUUAUUCCUAACUCUUCUAUAGGAGAUAUGCUGAAUAGGUAGAAUCAACAACACUUAGCAAAAACAGAUGUAGGAGUUGAAAGAGUGAAAAGAUUUGUCUCUUGAAUUAGAAAGAAGCUUCCUGAGGGCAGUAUUUGAAUUUGUAUCUCCAGAGCUUAGUGUAACAUCUAAAUUGUAGCAAAUACUUAAUAUUUGUUUGUUGAGUUAAAAGCUUCCAAUCCACUGAAUCGUCUUGUAUUUUCAAAAAAGUUUCUUUUAGUACAAACCCAGAAAAAACAAAACAGGUUUUGUUUUAAUUCACACAUGACAAUUUUAAUUAUUUUGAAUCUCCAUUCUGCAACUUUCAAAUAUCUUUAAGUCAAUCAAUUAGAAAUAUUAGCAACUUCCAAGUUAUAGAAAUCUGUUAAUUCACUAAGCCAUAAAUUAACUUUUUAGUUUUCUUCCAAAUUCAUUAUAAAUACCUUAAAUUCUAUGAUAGUCUCAAAUCUCUAGAUUGAAAAGGCACAAAUCAUGGUUUAUUCCCGUCUCUCUCUUAAGCUUAUUGUGUAUUUGUUCUUGAUUUCCACACAAUCGACAUAUUAGAAAAUACUGAACAUGAAACACACUGAAAAAUGGAAAGCAGUUUGUAUCGAUAUUAAUAAGCUGUAAUAAUAAUGAGCUCCCUUGACCUAAACUUUGCAAUUUAUAAAGUGCUUUCUUUGAAACAAUCCAGUGAAGUAGAUAGUAUAAACAUUAUCACUUCUGUUUUAAAAAUAAAGAAAUUGAAUCUCAGAGACAGUAAAAGAUUUUUCCCGAGUUUUAUAGCUACCAAGAACUGCUGUGAGGCCUCAGACCCCAAAUUAAUGUAAUGAAGCAGAAAGAGCACGGGAACUUUGACUCUGCAUUCCCUACGUGAUCUUGAAAAAGUCACGUAGGCGUCUCAGUUUCCUUAAAUGAUGGGGUGAUAGAACUUCAAGGCAUUUUGCAAACCUAAAUCAAUCGUCCCUUGAUUACCAGUUUAGUCAUAGCUCUUUGCAGAGAGAUUUGCAAAGAGAUUACAAAAGAAAGCUGUCAUAUACAGCCAUUGUUUUCAUUAGAAAGGUUCUUAAAAUGUGAAAGAUAUCUGCACAAUUAUAUUGGAUCUGAUAUCUGCAUGCCAGUUAGACCUGAAUAUCAUUUCUAAGUCCACUUGCUAACUUAAUAAUGAUCUAACAGAGCCGCUAGAAUUGAGUGAAAGGUCUCUCCCUAUCAUACUAAAUGAAAUACCGAUGACCUUUGAUCUCAUGCCUUUAUCUCUAGGGGCUUAACAGAGACUUUGUAGUUUGGGGGGCCCCUAUACAUAAAUAACUGACUAAUCCAAAGUUUACCCACCUACUCACCUGAGAUGACAACUUCUUUCUCAUUGGUUCCUUCUAGUGAUAGCGUGGUUGGGAUGGCGCCAUUGCGAUAGCACCCCGCCAAAAUCGAUUAGUCGUCUCACCCACAUCCCCAGGGGGCCGUGCUCUGUUAGCAAAGGGGAUUGGUCCCUCUGGUUCUGUUUAUGACAUUAUUGACUUAAGGUGACCAGAAGUCAUGCAUUACCCCAGAGUUCAAUAUUUUAACUGGCCGCUCCUUCCAAUUGAUGUCCCGCUCUUGUCUUUUAUUCUGCCCUUUUUUGGACCCCUUUCCAGAAACAUUAUCUUCCGCCCCCGGUUCAGAACUAUGCCCUUUCUUGCCUCAACAACCUUUAUUAAAUGUAUAUCAAAUAAGAGAAAUACAGUACGCAUCUAUUAAAUCAGAACAUUAACCGUCAGGCCUUGUCGAACCAACGCGAGCAUUUUUGGUCACUUCCUAAAACUAAGACUCCGUCGCGGUAAACCAGAUUCACGGAGUCAUGUUUCUUUCUUUUUCCUGUUUUGCAUCACCCUCUAGUGUUCAAUACAAUAUCCUGCACAUAGGAGCUUUCAAUAAAUGAUCUUUAAAAUCA